AUGGCAAGGCGGUCCCUGCUUGAUGGGACAACAGUACAGGAGGUCCCUGUGGGCCUGGUGUCUGGGGAAGACACAGAACUGAAGGCCCUGGUGACAGGAUUCGUGGCCCACCGCUCCUUCGCCGUCCCUGCCGCCACCAUCCACGCUCAGCGUCGUAGAGAAGAUGGUCGGAACAGCGCCAUCGCCGCCGGUGUAUGCGGAGCCCUUUUUAUUGGGUACUGCAUCUACUUCGACCGCAAAAGACGAAGUGAAGAACAGGCUUCGAGAACGAAGAAAGAAACAGAAGCUUGCCAAGGAGAGAGCUGGGCUUUCCAAGUUACCUGACCUUAAAGACGCUGAAGCUGUUCAGAAGUUCUUCCUUGAAGAAAUACAGCUUGGUGAAGAGUUACUAGCUCAAGGUGAAUAUGAGAAGGGCGUAGACCAUCUCACAAAUGCAAUUGCUGUGUGUGGACAGCCACAGCAGUUACUGCAGGUCUUACAGCAAACUCUUCCACCACCAGUGUUCCAGAUGCUUCUGACUAAGCUCCCAACAAUUAGUCAGAGAAUUGUAAGUGCUCAGAGCUUGGCUGAAGAUGAUGUGGAAUGAGAAACAAAUGUCAACAUAAUAAAAUCUCAGUUAAAAAUAUUUUUAAAAUUUUUGGUAGUUGAGCAGCUCUGGGGGAAUAAGGGCAAAUAUGCUUGUUAUGAACUACACUGAAAUCUACCAAAGUUAAUGUUUACUUUGUGUAGAUCCAUUUGUCUAUUUUAUUUAUUUUUCCCAGUGAAAAGUGUAUUUUGGUAGAUACACGUUUUAUUCAUUUUAUACACUUUUUAUUCAUUUUAUAAAUACACUAUGAGUUACU